CAGUCACGAGCUGCUGUUUGAGCAUCAGCAGCUCGACACUAACACUUGCUGGAGGCUGUUGGAACAAGACAAACGUGUCUUCUUGUGACCCGUUUGAUCGAUCCGAACUCUUGGACGAACUUCUGGCUCAUCUUGUGAACGUUGCAUGAGCAAACUGAGAGAACAGCGCCAGCUCGGCGUCGUUGAAUGGCUCCCUUUCAUCGUCUUCCACGGCGGCAUCCGUCGAGGCCGCCAUUGAAAUUGGCCAACACCAGAGGGGGGGCGAGAGGCCGAGUGUGGCCGCGAGAGGUUGCUUGGAAGGCGGCGGCGAGGCAGGGCGACGCGCGCUGUCUGCUGACUUUACUUCCAGGCACCACAAUCUCAGCCGGUGGCGCAGUUCCGAGCAGACGCGUCCAUGUUGAUGUUGCACGACCGCUGCCUUGCCUGUGAAACGUUUUUCGGCUU